CCUACGGGGGGCUGCAGUGGGGGAUAUUGCACAAUGGGGGGAACCCUGAUGCAGCGACGCCGCGUGUGGGAAGACGGUCCUCUGGAUUGUAAACCACUGUCCCCAGGGACGAAAAUGACGGUACCUGGGGAGGAAGCUCCGGCUAACUACGUGCCAGCAGCCGCGGUAAUACGUAGGGAGCGAGCGUUGUCCGGAAUUACUGGGUGUAAAGGGAGCGUAGGCGGGGAUGCAAGUUGGGUGUCAAAACUACCGGCUCAACUGGUAGUCGAACUCAAAACUGCAGCUCUUGAGUGAAGUAGAGGCAGGCGGAAUGCCUAGUGUAGCGGUGAAAUGCGUAGAUAUUAGGAGGAACACCAGUGGCGAAGGCGGCCUGCUGGGCUUUUACUGACGCUGAGGCUCGAAAGUGUGGGGAGCAAACAGGAUUAGAUACCCUUGUAGUC
rnacentral:rRNA from 1 species